rnacentral:rRNA from 1 species
GACGAACGCUGGCGGCGUGCUUAACACAUGCGAGUCGAACGAAGAGCGAUGGAAGCUUGCUUCUAUCAAUCUUAGUGGCGAACGGGUGAGUAACGCGUAAUCAACCUGCCCUUCAGAGGGGGACAACAGUUGGAAACGACUGCUAAUACCGCAUACGAUCUAAUCUCGGCAUCGAGGAUAGAUGAAAGGUGGCCUCUACAUGUAAGCUAUCACUGAAGGAGGGGAUUGCGUCUGAUUAGCUAGUUGGAGGGGUAACGGCCCACCAAGGCGAUGAUCAGUAGCCGGUCUGAGAGGAUGAACGGCCACAUUGGGACUGAGACACGGCCCAGACGCCUACGGGAGGCAGCAGUGGGGAAUCUUCCGCAAUGGACGAAAGUCCGACGGAGCAACGCCGCGUGAGUGAUGACGGCCUUCGGGUUGUAAAGCUCUGUUAAUCGGGACGAAAGGCCUUCUUGCGAAUAGUGAGAAGGAUUGACGGUACCGGAAUAGAAAGCCACGGCUAACUACGUG